AGUAGUAAGUCUACAAGGUUCCGUAGGUGAACCUGCGGAGGAUCAUUA
rnacentral:rRNA from 1 species